GCCGUCUUAGCUCAAUUGGUAGAGCAAUCGCUUCGUAAGCGAUAGGUUCUCGGUUCGAUUCCGAGAGACGGCU
rnacentral:tRNA from 4 species